UACGUAGGGGGCAAGCGUUGUCCGGAUUUAUUGGGCGUAAAGAGCGUGUAGGCGGCCCGGUAAGUCCGCUGUGAAAGUCGGGGGCUCAACCCUCGGAUGCCGGUGGAUACUGUCGGGCUCGAGUACGGAAGAGGCGAGUGGAAUUCCUGGUGUAGCGGUGAAAUGCGCAGAUAUCAGGAGGAACACCUAUUGCGAAGGCAGCUCGCUGGGACGUUACUGACGCUGAGACGCGAAAAGCGUGGGGGAGCAAACAGG
rnacentral:rRNA from 1 species